rnacentral:rRNA from 1 species
ACUGAACGCUGGCGGCGUGCUUAACACAUGCAAGUCGAUCGGUAACGCGGGGGCAACCCUGGCGACGAGAGGCGGACGGGUGAGGAACGCUUGCGAAUCUGCCUAUCAGCGGGGGACAACACGGGGAAACUCGUGCUAAUACCGCAUACGCCUUACGGAGGAAAGCCGGGGACCGCAAGGCCUGGCACUGGUAGAUGAGCCCAAGCCGGAUUAGCUAGUUGGCGGGGUAACGGCCCACCAAGGCGACGAUCCGUAGCUGGGAUGAGAGGACGAUCAGCCACACUGGGACUGAGACACGGCCCAGACUCCUACGGGAGGCAGCAGUGGGGAAUAUUGGACAAUGGGGGAAACCCUGAUCCAGCGACGCCGCGUGGGUGAAGAAGGCCUGCGGGUUGUAAAGCCCUUUCGGUAGGGACGAAAGCUCACGACCUAACACGUCGGGAGGUUGACUUAACCUACAAAAGAAGCACCGGCUAACUCUGUGCCAGCCGCCGCGGUAACAC